rnacentral:lncRNA from 1 species
CAGCAUUCACACCCCACAUAUACUUCUUUGCACUUAAAAGCAGGAGCAUGUCAAAGGCUGCCUGCGAAGCUGGCCAGUGCUCCAGGGAGGGCCGGAUCAUCUCUCACACAAAGUGAUCAGGACCUUUGAAGACAGAGGCCCGGGCUUGUGGCUGUUUUCCUGCCAUUUCUCAACAAAGGAGGCUGCUGCCAGGCAUUUUGGGAGUCCCUGCUGUGUGCUGGGAAUCAUAUUAGAUACCAGAGAUGAGUACAAGAUACAGUUCCUACAGUUCCUGCAAUUUAGGAGCUUGACAUGGAGACAUCCCCAUCCCAAUCCAUGGCCCCUCUUCAGAUGUUCAGAUUUCUGGCCACACGACAUUCUAUUCAAUGACCAUGCAGCCUGGUGUCACUCGCUGCCCCUGCUCUGCACCCGCCUGCCACCAGAUAUCAGGUCAGAGUUUUGUCAGGCCUCUGAGCCGAAGCUCGGCCAUUAUAACCCCUGUGACCUGCACAUAUCCGUCUAGAUGGCCUGCAGGAGCCAAGAAGUCUGGAGCAGCCAAAGAAAAACUACAAAGAAGUAAAACAGCCAGUCCCUGCCUUAACUGAGUAAAAUUACAAUAUUUUACUAUCGUGACUUGUCCCUGCCCUAUCUUAGUUGAUCAUUUGACUUUGUGACAUUCUUCUUCUGGACAAUAAGUCUUAUGAUCUCUCCACCAUGUACCUUGCAACCCUCUCCUCUGCUAACAGUAAAUAACUACCUUUUAUUGUAAUUUUCCAUUACCUACCCAACUCCUAUAAAGCAACCGCUUCCCCAUCUCCCUUCGCUGACUGUCUUUUCGGACUCAGCCCACUUGCACCCAAGUGAAUAAACAGCUUUAUUGCUCACGCAAAGCCUGUUUGGUGGUCUCUUCACACGGACGUGCUUGACAUUAUUAUUACUCAAAUCAGUCUCCCCAAUUAUUUGGGAACAGAGUCUUUUGUUUG